ACGAGCCGCCAUGACGGAACAAAAGGAAGGAGACGCUCCGCCUGCGGUCAGUCCGAGCUGAGGAUCAGCUGCAGUCGUGACCGUCGCUCCUCUGAGAUAAACGGUUUUAUAUGUUCCAGCUCGUUAGACUGCUGAGGAUGUCGGCUUCACCUCUGGACUGUCCCUGCAGUUUGCACAAGGGUCACACCGUGGACCUCCAGGGACACCGUACAGAAGCUGCUCACGAUGGAUGAUGCGACUUAUUCCUCAGAAGGUGGAAAUUCAUCAGCUCCAGUGAACUUGGGGACAGGGUUCCAGGCUGGCUGUGCCUUCAUCUUCUCUGUCCAGUCACCAGUGACGGUGGUUAUUGACUGGGCGAACGUCUCGGUGGAUGAUUCUGUUCAUUCAGCACCUGCACCAAGAUGGUGGUGAUCAACGCCUGCACAGCUGGGCGAACGUCUCGGUGGAUGAUUCUGUUCAUUCAGCACCUGCAGCAAGAUGGUGGUGAUCAAAGCCUGCACAGCUGGGUUCCAGGCUGGCUGUGCCUUCAUCUUCUCUGUCCAGUCACCAGUGACGGUGGUUUUUGUCUGGUCGAACAUAAACCAGGAGCUGGACUUCACUGGUUUCUCUUCGCUGGAGAUUUUUCCUCUUUCCUUGUUUUUGUUGUUGUUUACAAAGAAAUAAAGAUCCAGCUGUUGCAA